rnacentral:rRNA from 1 species
UACAGAGGUCUCAAGCGUUGUUCGGAUUUACUGGGCGUAAAGGGCGCGUAGGCGGCGUGUUAAGUCACUUGUGAAAUCUCUAAGCUUAACUUAGAACGGUCAAGUGAUACUGAUGUGCUAGAGUGCAGAAGGGGCAACCGGAAUUCUUGGUGUAGCGGUGAAAUGCGUAGAUAUCAAGAGGAACACCUGAGGUGAAGACGGGUUGCUGGGCUGACACUGACGCUGAGGCGCGAAAGCUAGGGUAGCAAACGGG